GACAGAGGUCCCAAGCGUUAGGCGGAAUCACUGGGCUUAAAGCGUGUAUAGGCGGAUCCGUAAGUACCUUGUGAAAUCCCACGGCUCAACCGUGGAACUGCUGGGUAUACUGCGGGUCUUGAGCCACCUAGGGGCGAGCGGAACAAGUGGUGGAGCGGUGAAAUGCGUAGAUAUCACUUGGAACGCCAAUGGUGAAAACAGCUCGCUGGGGGUGUGCUGACGCUGAGACACGAAAGCCAGGGGAGCAAACGGG
rnacentral:rRNA from 1 species